rnacentral:sRNA from 1 species
UAUUAGCCCCGAUUGCAACGACAUCCUUUUUCUGAUAUGGCUUGAAAAAAGCGUUGGCGAAAAAGAUAUAGUGGAAAGCGGGAAAUAGC